rnacentral:lncRNA from 1 species
UAUAUAUACAUAUAUAUAUAUAUUCCUUGCCAGAAAAAAUUAUAAAUACAAGGUCAGAUAAAAUAAAAAGAUCCUCAUCUGUGUCCAUAUUGAUAAUGAAAUACUUGGUGAUUAGCCAUAAGAGAAACAUUCUUACUGCAGGAUCAAAUUUGGCUUUCUGAUUUUCCCUUCCUAGCUAGAAAAUCAGCUAAAGACCUAAUGAAUAGAAAGAAUGCCGAUCUACAUGACGAGAAUAGGUGGAGGAGAAAGCCUAAUUAAAGGGAGACAACUCUUAUAUAUGUAUAUCAAGGUUAAGCUUGUAUCAAAAGUUUUCAUUAUAUUAAAAGCUUCUUAGUAACUAAUAUUUUAUUCAACUCUGUUUCACAAGAAUACUUUAAAAGAAUGAACCAAACUACUAAUUAAAAAAACAUGAUACUGAUGUAAUGAGUUUUCUCCCUUUAU